rnacentral:rRNA from 1 species
CCCGCUGAACUUAAGCAUAUCAAUAAGCGGAGGAAAAGAAACUAACAAGGAUUCCCCUAGUAACGGCGAGUGAAGCGGGAGCAGCUCAAAUUUGAAAUCUGGCGUCCUUAGGGCGUCCGGAUUGUAUUCUAGAGAAGCGUCUUCCACGCUGGUCCGUGUAUAAGUGCCCUGGAACGGGCCGUCAUAGAGGGUGAGAAUCCCGUCCUUGACGUGGGCUACCAGUGUUUUUGUGAUGCGCUUUCUAAAAGCCAAGUUGUUUGGAAUUGCAGCUCAAAGUGGGUGGAAAAUUCCUUCUAAGGCUAAUUAUUGCCCUGAAACCGAUGCCGAACAAGUCCCGGGAGGAAAAAAUGAAAAGAACUUUGAAAAAAGAGUCAACACAGUACGUGAAAUUGCUGAAAGGAAAACGCUGGAGGCCGGCCCCGCCCCCAGGAAUUCACCCCUGCUUUUGUUGGGGGUACUUUCCAGGCGGCGGGCCAGCAUCAGUUUUGACCGGCGGAUAAAGGCUGAGGGAAUGUGGCUCCUUCGGGAGUGUUAUAGCCCCUGGUCACAUAUGCCGGUUGGGACUGAGGAACUCAGCGCGCCGCAUGUGCCAGGCCUUCAAGCACUUUCGCGCUUAGGAUGCUGGCAUAAUGGCUUUAAGCGACCCGUCUUGAAACACGG